rnacentral:rRNA from 1 species
GAUCAGGUAGGGAUACCCGCUGAACUUAAGCAUAUCAAUAAGCGGAGGAAAAGAAACCAACAGGGAUUGCCCUAGUAACGGCGAGUGAAGCGGCAACAGCUCAAAUUUGAAAUCUGGCGUCUUUGGCGUCCGAGUUGUAAUUUGCAGAGGGCGCUUUGGCAUUGGCAGCGGUCCAAGUUCCUUGGAACAGGACGUCACAGAGGGUGAGAAUCCCGUACGUGGUCGCUAGCCUUUACCGUGUAAAGCCCCUUCGACGAGUCGAGUUGUUUGGGAAUGCAGCUCUAAAUGGGAGGUAAAUUUCUUCUAAAGCUAAAUACUGGCCAGAGACCGAUAGCGCACAAGUAGAGUGAUCGAAAGAUGAAAAGCACUUUGGAAAGAGAGUUAAAAAGCACGUGAAAUUGUUGAAAGGGAAGCGCUUGCAGCCAGACUUGCCUGUAGUUGCUCAUCCGGGUUUCUACCCGGUGCACUCUUCUAUAGGCAGGCCAGCAUCAGUUUGGGCGGUUAGAUAAAGGUCUCUGUCAUGUACCUCCUCUCGGGGAGAACUUAUAGGGGAGACGACAUGUAACCAGCCCGGACUGAGGUCCGCGCAUCUGCUAGGAUGCUGGCGUAAUGGCUGUAAGCGGCCCGUCUUGAAACACGGACCAAGGAGUCUAACAUCUAUGCGAGUGUUUGGGUGUCAAGCCCGAGCGCGUAAUGAAAGUGAACGGAGGUGGGAACCUUUCGGGGUGCACCAUCGACCGAUCCUGAUGUCUUCGGAUGGAUUUGAGUAAGAGCAUAGCUGUUGGGACCCGAAAGAUGGUGAACUAUGCUUGAAUAGGGUGAAGCCAGAGGAAACUCUGGUGGAGGCUCGCAGCGGUUCUGACGUGCAAAUCGAUCGUCAAAUUUGGGCAUAGGGGCGAAAGACUAAUCGAACUAUCUGGUAGCUGGUUCCUG